UGGAAAUGAGGAAAUAUCUAAUACGGAUUUCACAAUGAAGACUAUUAAUCCAACUCUGAUCCAAGCACUGCC